CGCCUUCCUAUUUGCCUCUCAUUGGACAUACUUCAAUGUCCUUUUUUUCUUGUAAACCCUUACCUUCUAUCUUAGAAUCAAUACUGUGUAUUGGCUCCAAGGCAGAAGAGUGGUCAGGGCUAGGCAAUGGGGGUCAAGUGACUUGCCCAGGGUCACACAGCUGGGAAGUGUCUGAGGCCAGAUUUGAACCCUGGUUCUCAAUCCACUGAGCUACCCAGCUGCCCCCUCACAUUGUUCUUAUGACAAAUGAGAGGUUGGACACUGUGUCCACCAAGGGAAUAUCUGAACGGUUAUAAUCCUAAAUCACUUUACCUGCCUGCAUCUCCCAAUCGCAUCUGUAAAAUGAGGAGGUUGGGCUGGGUUUGGUUUUUUUUUUUUUGUAUUUCCAGGACUUAGCACAGUGCCUGGCACAUAGUAGGUGCUUCAUAAAUGGUUGGUGAAGGGCAGCUUGAUGGCACUGUGGAUAGAAAAUGAAGCCUGACAUUGGGAGGUCCUGGGUUCAAAUCUGUGUGACUCUGGGAAAGUCUCUUGAACCUGUUUAACUAGCCCUUGCUGCUCUUCUGUCUUAAACUUGUUACUAUGCCAGAAAGCAAGGAUUUAAGAUAAAUACAUGCCCUUUGAUUUGACUUGACUCUGAAGUCCCUUUCUGCUCUAAAUCUCUUUUCCUGGUGACUUUACUCCACAUACUUUUAUCUAAAUAACUGGUGUCUCCUUCCGCCUUCUAGUUUCAGAUCUUCCAGAAUCUUCAGAGAUGCUGGGCAACCCCCAACGCUCGCCCCAAACCCGGGGAACUCUCCUCUUCUCCCGCCUUCCUGUCCAUGGCAGCGCCACCUCCUUGGCGGUCUUUGGCCUCUCGGCCCGCAUCCCCAUCGCCCGACCAUCCUUCCUCUGGGAUUCAGCAUCUUCCGUCCCGUUCCGGUAGAGCUCCACCCUGUUCGAGACUUACCAGCUGCCACUGGAUUACGGCUUCCCACUGAGUGGACAGACAUCUCUACUGCAUCUGAUCCCAAAUGCAACGCCUCCGACGUGGAAGCUGUCCCCAGUCUUGCCGAGGAGGGCACUUAGAGUGAGUAGUCCAAGUCUUCUUACUGGGGUCAGAGGGGAAUUUAUUUAUUUAUUUUUAACCCUUACUUUCUGUCCUAGUAACCAAAACAGAAAGGGUAAGGGCUGGGCAAAUGGGAUUAUGUGACUUACCCAGGUAUUAAGGGCAAUGCAGCUAGGAAGUGUCUGAGGCCAGAUCUGAACUCGGGUCCUGGCCUGGUGCUGGAGGGAGAAUUUUUUAAUUUAAACCCUUGCCUUCCAUCUUGGAAUCAAUACUGUAUAUUGGUUCCGAGGCAGAAGAGUGGUAAGGGCUAGGCAAUGGGGGUUAAGUGACUUGUCCAGGGUCACACAGCUGGGAAGUGUCUGAGGCCACAUUUGAACUCCAGUUCUCCUAACUCCAGGCCUGACACUGGAGGGGGAAUUUUAUUUUUAACCCUAACCUUCCAUCUUAGAAUCAAUAGUGUUCCAAGGCAGAAAAGCAGUAAAGGCUAGGUAAUGGGGGUUAAGUGACCUACCCAAGAUUACAUAGCUAGGAAGUGUCUGAGGCCAGAUUUGAACUCAGGCCUUCCAGACUCCAGGCUUGGCACUGGAGGGGGAAUUUUUUUUUUAACCCUAACCUUCCAUCUUAGAAUCAAUAGUGUUCCAAGGCAGAAAAGCAGUAAAGGCUAGGUAAUGGGGGUUAAGUGACCUACCCAAGAUUACAUAGCUAGGAAGUGUCUGAGGCCAGAUUUGAACUCAGGCCUUCUAGACUCCAGGCUUGGCACUGGAG
rnacentral:lncRNA from 1 species